rnacentral:rRNA from 1 species
UACGAGGGUGCGAGCGUUGUCCGGAAUCACUGGGCGUAAAGGGCGCGUAGGCGGUUGGGUAGUCCGUGGUGAAGCUACGUGGCUGCACUCACGAGUCGGCCAUGGAUACUCCUCGACUGGAGCACUGUAGGAGGCAGGUGGAAUUCCGGGUGUAGCGGAUGAAUGCGUAGAUAUCGGGAGGAACACCUGUGGCGAAAGCGGCUCACUGGACCACACAUGACGCUGAGGCGCGAAAGCUAGGGGGAGCAAACAGGAUUAGAAACCUUAC